rnacentral:misc_RNA from 1 species
GAUGAAGAACGCAGUGAAAUGCGAUAAGUAGUGUGAAUUGCAGAAUUCAGUGAAUCAUCGAAUCUUUGAACGCACAUUGCGCCCUUUGGUAUUCCUUAGGGCAUGUCUGUUCGAGCGUCAUUUAAACCUUCAAGCUCAGCUUGGUGUUGGGUGACUGUCCGCUUCACCGCGGACUCGCCUCAAAAUUAUUGGCGGCCGGUACAUUGGCUUCGAGCGCAGCAGAAACGCGAACUCGGGCCCGUCGUAUUGGCUCCCAGAAGCUAUCUUCACAAUUUUGACCUCGGAUCAGGUAGGGAUACCCGCUGAACUUAAGCAUAUCAAUAAGCGGAGGA